AUUGAACGCUGGCGGCAGGCCUAACACAUGCAAGUCGAACGAGUGGCGGACGGGUGAGUAAUGUCUGGGAAAAUGCCUGAUGGAGGGGGAUAACUACUGGAAACGGUAGCUAAUACCGCAUACCAUCAGAUGUGCCCAGAUGGGCGUAGCUUGUUGGGGGGGUAACGGCUCACCAAGGCGACGAUCCCUAGCGGGUCUGAGAGGAUGACCAGCCACACUGGAGCUGUGACAAGGUCCAGUCCCCUACGGGAGUCAGUAGUGGUGAAUAUUGCACAAUGGGCGCAAGCCUGAUGCAGCCAUGCCGCGUGUAUGAAGAAUGCCUGCAGGUUGUAAAGUACUUUCAGCGGGGAGGCUUUACCCGCAGAAGAAGCACCGGCUAACUCCGUGCCAGCCGCCGCGGUAAUUC
rnacentral:rRNA from 1 species